rnacentral:rRNA from 1 species
UAGGUAGGUGGUCUCAUUUGUCUGGGGUGAAAUCCUUGGGCUUAACUCAAGAAGUGCCCUAGAAACGGUGAGACUGGAGUCUUGGAUAGGGUCGUGGAAUUCCCGGUGUAGCGGUGAAAUGCGUAGAGAUCGGGAGGAACACCAGAGGCGAAAGCGGCGACCUGGACAAGUACUGACACUCAACUACGAAAGCGUGGGGAGCAAACAGGAUUAGAUACCCUGGUAGUCCACGCUGUAAACGAUGGGUACUAGGUUUGGUGGGUCUUGACCCCUGCCGAACCGGCGCUAACGCACUAAGUACCCCGCCUGGGAAGUACGGUCGCAAGACUAAA